rnacentral:lncRNA from 1 species
AUGGGAUGUAGGUAUAAGUAUCCCUUAGACUUGAGAUCGCCUCAGUGACUUGCAAGCAACUCACUGUGCUUUGAUACUGGACUAACUGAAUUUCUAAUUCAGGGAUGGAAGGCUUCUGGGCGCAGUCAAGUACUUGCGAAGUCAGAGUGUGAUCGAGAUGGGAUUGACCACUCCAAGAGUUGGAGAAGAAUGAGUCGCUGUAUUUCAAUUUAGCAAAACCUUGGCCAGGGUAAUCCAUCAGAUGGAUUUGAUAUUUUGAAAUACAAUGUGAACAACCUGAUCAGAGUUGACAGUUGAACUCUGGGGUAUCCUAUGAUCAUUUUG